GGAACCACACAGGAAAGGGGGUGUUUGCCCCAAAAGUGAAGGAGGAGCUGUUGCAGAAAGACAGGGACAGGGGGAGGAUGAGAUGGUGUGCUUGACAGCCAACAUCUAUCCUGCUUCACCAUGAUUACUACGGUAACCAAGCUGUUCUAAGGCAUGCCAGUAAAAGCUCCAUAGCAACAUUUAACAAAAGACCUGAAGAAUUAGUGGAAAUUAGUCAAAUAAAACCCAGUACCUAGGGAAGCAUGCUACAGGUAAAACUGUGCCAAGGGAUGAUAACAUCGGCUCAAGCAAACUGCUUGGAUCUUGGAACGCUCAGCACAACAGGGAUCCUAAGUGAUAUCCCAGCUAUGAAACAUCAGGCAAAUACCUCGGCUUCCAAAAACUUUCAUUCUCACAGCUGAGAGUGAGGAUGACUAUACUUGCUUCUCAUGGUCGUUACGGGAUGGUGGACGGAAACCAACACCCUGCCUGACACAAGGCAGACACUCGGUGUAAAGACACAGCUCCCUCCUUCGCUCAUCUGUGAGCUCCUCCCAGACGAGAGACCUCGUUUUAUUCAUCUUUGAAUCACCAGCAGCUAGCACUGUACAUGAUCCACUCUAUGUGCUCAAUAAAUUGUUAUUUCAUGGACUGUUGAUCUGUUGUUUGGCCCCUGUGCCUUCCCUUUGGUUCUGGAAGAUAGGUAAGAAAAAUAAGGGAGCACUUGACAUCAAUUCUCUGACACCUACCAAUCCCAGCAGCUUGUA